AGUGAACGCUGGCGGUAGGCCUAACACAUGCAAGUCGAACGGCAGCACAGUAAGAGCUUGCUCUUACGGGUGGCGAGUGGCGGACGGGUGAGGAAUACAUCGGAAUCUACUUUUUCGUGGGGGAUAACGUAGGGAAACUUACGCUAAUACCGCAUACGACCUACGGGUGAAAGCAGGGGAUCUUCGGACCUUGCGCGAUUGAAUGAGCCGAUGUCGGAUUAGUUAGUUGGCGGGGUAAAGGCCCACCAAGGCGACGAUCCGUAGCUGGUCUGAGAGGAUGAUCAGCCACACUGGAACUGAGACACGGUCCAGACUCCUCCGGGAGGCAGCGGUGGGGAAUAUUGGACAAUGGGCGCAAGCCUGAUCCAGCCAUACCGCGUGGGUGAAGAAGGCCUUCGGGUUGUAAAGCCCUUUUGUUGGGAAAGAAAAGCAGCAGGUUAAUACCCCGCUGUUCUGACGGUACCCAAAGAAUAAGCACCGGCUAACUUCGUG
rnacentral:rRNA from 1 species